AGUGAACGCUGGCGGCGUGCUUAACACAUGCAAGUCGAACGAGAACGGAUUAUAGCUUGCUAUAAUUGUCAGCUAAGUGGCGCACGGGUGAGUAAUGUAUAGGUAAUAUGCCUCUUACUAAGGGAUAACAAUUGGAAACGAUUGCUAAUACCUUAUACUCCUUGUUAACUUAAGUUAAUAAGGGAAAGAUUUAUUGGUAAGAGAUUAGCCUGUAUUGUAUCAGUUAGUUGGUGGGGUAAUGGCCUACCAAGACUAUGACACAUAACUGGUUUGAGAGGAUGAUCAGUCACACUGGAACUGAGACACGGUCCAGACUCCUACGGGAGGCAGCAGUGGGGAAUAUUGCACAAUGGACGAAAGUCUGAUGCAGCAACGCCGCGUGGAGGAUGACACAUUUCGGUGCGUAAACUCCUUUUAUAUGAGAAGAUAAUGACGGUAUUAUAUGAAUAAGCACCGGCUAACUCCGUGCCAGCAGCCGCGGUAAUACGGGGGGUGCAAGCGUUACUCGGAAUCACCGGGCGUAAAGAGCAUGUAGGCGGAUUAAUAAGUUUGAAGUGGAAUCCUAUAGCUUAACUAUAGAACUGCUUUGAAAACUGUUAAUCUAGAAUGUGGGAGAGGUAGAUGGAAUUUCUGGUGUAGGGGUAAAAUCCGUAGAGAUCAGAAGGAAUACCGAUUGCGAAGGCGAUCUACUGGAACAUUAUUGACGCUGAGAUGCGA
rnacentral:rRNA from 1 species